UUUAGGCUUAGGCUUAGGCUCAGUCUUAGGCUCAGGCUUCGGCUUAGGCUUAGGGCCUCAGGCUUAGGGUUGGGCUUAGGCUUAUGGACUCAGUCUAAGGGCCUUAGGCAUAGGCUUAGGCUUAGGCAUAGGCUUAG
ensembl:ncRNA Y110A2AL.19 ncRNA